CAUAAGCGCACGGUUCCGCAUGGAACAGUGUGAAAAACUCCGGUGGUAUACGAUGAAUCCGCGUCUGAUUAGCCAGUUGGCGGGGUAACGGCCCACCAAAGCGACGAUCAGUAGCCGGCCUGAGAGGGUGAACGGCCACAUUGGGACUGAGACACGGCCCAAACUCCUACGGGAGGCAGCAGUGGGGAAUAUUGCACAAUGGGGGAAACCCUGAUGCAGCGACGCCGCGUGAGUGAAGAAGUAUCUCGGUACGUAAAGCUCUAUCAGCAGGGAAGAAAAUGACGGUACCUGAUUAAGAAGCCCCGGCUAACUACGUGCCAGCAGCCGCGGUAAUACGUAGGGGGCAAGCGUUAUCCGGAUUUACUGGGUGUAAAGGGAGCGUAGACGGCAGCGCAAGUCUGGAGUGAAAUGCCGGGGCCCAACCCCGGAACUGCUUUGGAAACUGUGCAGCUCGAGUGCAGGAGAGGUAAGCGGAAUUCCUAGUGUAGCGGUGAAAUGCGUAGAUAUUAGGAGGAACACCAGUGGCGAAGGCGGCUUACUGGACUGUAACUGACGUUGAGGCUCGAAAGCGUGGGGAGCAAACAGGAUUAGAUACCCUGGUAGUCCACGCCGUAAACGAUGAUUACUAGGUGUCGGGGGGCCAAGGCCCUCCGGUGCCGGCGCAAACG
rnacentral:rRNA from 1 species